rnacentral:lncRNA from 1 species
UAACAAUACUCAUUAAUUAUAUGAAAAUAAAUUAAAUAAAUACUAUAACAAAUAUAAAUAAAUAAUAAGCAUAAUAUAUAAUAAAUAAUUUUAUCAUUAUUAUAUUUUAUAACUUUUUUCUCAAUACUCGAUAAUAAGAUUGCAAUCAGGUUUACAAAAAAAAAAAAAAAAAAUUAACGUUACAAUAUUAACUUUUAAAAUGAAUUUGAUAGUGGCAUGUUGUUAUUAAAGAUAAUUGAUAAUAAAUACAAAGUACUGAUAUAUGUAUAUAUAUAACGAGUUUAUAAAUAAAUACUAUUGUGGUACGUAUAUAAAUAAUAGCAAAAAAUUAACAAUAGUGGAUAUAUUGAUUGUUUUAGACUUUACGAUAAAUAUUUUUAAACCAGUGAGUAACAUUACAUUGUUUAAUAUAAUUUUUGUAUACGUUUAAUUAUUUAUGAUUUAUGUUAAAUGUAAGUUACAUUAUGUUUACAAUAAUAUCUUUAAACCUAAUUUAUUUCAAAUGCACGAUAACUUUAAUUAGAUAAUUUCUCAUAGAAUUAAUUAUAAUAUUAAUACAUAAUUUUUUAAUUUAAACGUAUUGUCAUGCACAUAGUGCAGUAUUCAUAAUUAGGUACUAAUAUAUUUAUUAUAAGAUACAUAAUGCAUAUUAUGGUCAGAUUUUAUUAAAAAAAUAAUUUCGCGUAGAACUUGGGAAAGUUUCUGUAUUAGCAACGACUUUCCCUUUUAGAACGUGUUGGAACAUUAACAUUAAUAAUAUUCGUUUAGCGAAAUAUUACAAUGUUUGUUUACGGUUUAAAAAUGAAAACGUAUUAUCUAGUAGUAGUAUUUUAAAAUUAUUAUAAUUUUCUAAAUUUUUAAAAUAUUUAUCCCGAGUGUUUUAUGUAAUGUUAAUGUUUAAUGAAAAUCCAACACCGAUGAGAACCAAUAAUAAAUAACAAUAAAUUGGUGACAAUUUUCGAAAAAUAUACAUAUUGUACCACGUAAAUAGCUGAACACUGAGUUGGUGUAAAAAUAAUUUUAAAUUAUCAAUGUAUUCAAUAAUGUUUAACGGAUUUUAAUUAAUGAGCCCGAAAGAUUAUAUGCUAUAGUGUAUAUCUACACUAUAGACAGUGUCGGUCAAAUGAUUUUGUUAUGGGUGGGGGGAGGUAAGGAUAAUUUUUAAAAACUAUUAUUAUUUAUUUUUUUGGUAACUAUAGAUAUAAUACAAUAUAUAUUAUUAUAAAUGUUUAAGAAAAAUGAGAUAAAGGGGGGAAUAUCUCCCCCUUCUCCGUUUGACCGUCCCUGGCUGUAUAUAUUACUUAUAAUAUGUUAACUAUUGCUCGCAAUUUUUUGUCAACAUUUCUUUUGGAUAUAAAACAAAAAAAAAAUAUGAAACGUAUAAUAGAUGUAUAAUAGAUUACAUUCAUAUAACCGUACACUGUGUAGUUAUAUAAAAAGGGAAAAAUGAAUUAUGAAACAUGAAACUGUCCAAUGAUACAAAAUUUAACGUUGUUAGAUUUAUCUUAUUGUCAUUUACCGAAAUCAACUCCUAAUUUACAAUACGUUUUCAUUUAUAGUGUUGGCUUUUCAUUUUUACUAGGUAAGCGUAUUUAUUUUAUAAUUUAUUUACUUUUAAUGCGUUUCGGGGCACGAAUUAAAAAUAUAGUAUCUACAAUAAAUAUGAAUUAUACAAUUGCAUCGUAUUUAA